rnacentral:rRNA from 1 species
CCUACGGGUGGCAGCAGUGAGGAAUAUUGGUCAAUGGGCGCGAGCCUGAACCAGCCAAGUCGCGUGAAGGAAGACUGCGCCACGCGUCGUAAACUUCUUUUAUCAGGGAACAAAGGGAGCCACGUUUGGCUUUUUGAGUGUACUCUAAGAAAAAGCAUCGGCUAACUCCGUGCCAGCAGCCGCGGUACUACGGAGGAUUCGAGCGUUAUCCGGAUUUAUUGGGUUUAAAGGGUGCGGAGGCGGUCCGGGAAGUCAGGUGUGAAAGGCUGGGGCUCAACCCCAGAGGAGCCGUUGAGACUGGCGGUCUUGAGUAGGCGGGAGGUAGGCGGAAUGCGCGGUGUAGCGGUGAAAUGCAUAGAUAUCGCGAAGAACUCCGAUUGCGAAGGCAGCGUAC